rnacentral:lncRNA from 1 species
CGGCUAUUACUUUUUGACUUUUGGAAUGCUCAAUUCAAAGUGUAAAAUUACAUUCUAGAAUGCACACUUUUUUUGGUGACCAAGCUGGAAGGUAAAAGAAAAAACAUUCUAGAAAUUAUGUAGGAAGUAACUUGGAAGUGCAGGAAGUAACAACCUUGAUAGACGACGACAAAGAGGGAGAUACAAUUAUAAAUCCAAUUGUUCUAACAAUUUACAUACAGUUACCUUAAAAACAGUGUCGACACACAUGACCACUUCUAUUGUGGGUGACUACCACGGGUCCUGCAGCGUGCGAAAGAUUUGUAGAACGUCAAAUAUACCCCUCACGUAAUGUAUGAUCCAGAUUUGUGCCAUUUACAAUGUAUCAACAGGGUAUGGGAUCUUCUUUUAAAAUAUUAGUAAAUGAUAUUCAAAAUACAGGUUUACUCUGUGUACAGUAAUGGACCCCAUGUGUUGGGCAUGUCCAUGGGAAACAAGGUCCUUAUGCUAAUUGCCUUUGUUGUUUUGUUAUGAGAGAGUGAGUAGAUCUUUUGCCUUAAGUGAGCUUAGGAAUAUAGUAAACAUCUAAAAAGGACAAAUUAAAUAUGGAGACGGAUCCAAUGUCUGCUAAUGGCAUUGGGGUACCAUCACCAUUCAUGACCGAUAUAAGCAAGACAGGAUUUAAAGACAUAAAAGACUUAGGAUCAUAUGACAUGUGUUGUGACGCUCCAGAAUCAAGAAUCCAAAUGGAAAUCAUACCUGACAAACUAGAGGAAGACAAACCUUUUAAGGAGGAGGUAGACAUGGCAUGCGACUGAGUAGCAAGAAAUAUUUGAAACCAUUCUACAAGAUCAACCACUUAAGAGGUGCAGCAGAAGUGGAUGUGUAUCCAGUACCAGGAACAACAACAUUGGAUGACAGAGCAACAAAGAUCAAUGGAGGAGUAGAGAAAAUUCCUAUAUCAAAACCAGAAUUAGACUUAAGUCGUAUUUCUUUUGUCAACCACUCAUUAACUACAACAUCAACAUUGGGAAGGGGAUGACGUUGUUAUAUCAUCCCACGAAGCCCUUCAAAAUCGUCUCGAAGGGUCAUAAAAAAUUGAACCAAACACGUUGCUCUCUAAAGUCAGUAUAAGUUUUGAGUGCUUGCAUUUCUGUAGGUCCACUAAGAGCCAG